UGUUUACAAGAUACUGAGUACAUUCAAAAUCUUGAGCUGGCAAGCACUGCCUCUGGGGCCCUACUGCACAAGAUUUCUCUUCAGUAUUAAAGAGGGAAACUGAGCGUUUCUUUUAUUGUUUUCUUUUUCAAAUAUUCAACAAGUGUCUUCUGUUUUUGUACAGGCUCAGCGAGUUGUACACCAUUUCAGCAGAGAUGUCUGAUCUUUCCAUCUGCAUACCUGGCGUUGCGUUAUCCCUUCACUGGUCUUUUCAGUAACCAUUAAAGGCUUCUUGAGACUGAACACUGGAACAGAUGAGUUAAAUUAUUCCUGAAUGUUCUUCAUCGAAUAUAGAUGUGCUGGAUUUUCUGGAUGUGCAUAAGGACACAAAGGGAAUCACUCUCAAUCAGGACAAUUCACUGACAUCAUUAUUCUGUGGUAUGAUUGAAAAUGUGGAAGAAACCAUUCUGCAAACAGAUACAUGCUCAGAAAGGUGGUGGAAUUGGGCAUAUGUGCACAGCAAGUCAUGUCUCAAACACAUGACAAGGAAAGUAGCAAGAUCAUAAAGAUACAUCAGGAUUUUCAGCACUAAUCAUAACAUUAAAAAAAUUAUGUUUGUGGUGAUGUGGAUAAUGCUACAUGCACUGGAGAAGAAAAGUGAACAGUCAUGUAACCUUGAUUUUUUUCUAUGAUUGCCAUCUGUUUUCAUUUUCUGCAGAAUAUUCUUCAGGAUUAUUGCUCUGUCAGGGUUUGGGGGGAGGAGGGGGCAAAAUUCUUUCCAGCUUUACUCUGUCAAACUCAUCUUAUUUGAUUUGGCCAUUUUAAAAAAAGAAUUAGUUUUACAGAUACUAUUUGUUCUUAUUAAACAUCACUACAACCUAUUAAAAUGGUUUCAGGAAACCUAUUGGCUAAAAUAGAUGGAGCUCAAACUUGAUGCAAUUAGAACUACACGAAUUGAGUUCCGCUUCCUCAUUUUUGCGGAGGGAUCCUAGUGAUAUCAUCUGAAUAAUAGCUUUCUAAUCAAUCUCUUUCUGUCUGCUACUCUAGCUAGCAUUUCUGUUUGCAUUCUAAAUGCCUGCUCCCUGUAUAAAGUAAAUAGAAGACAAAAAUAUCAUCCCUCAUCAAAAGGAAUUGUUUCCCUGUUGGCACCAAAUGUCUACUCCAGAUAGGAGAAAGGACAAAAAAAAAAGUAACAAUACAAUUUUGUUUCAUCUAAGUUCUAUUGAAGUUACUGAGAGUUUUUGUAAUAGAGUUCGGUAGGAACAAGAACAUGAAUAUAAAAAUACAGACUCCAUUUAAAAGCAGAAGGUUACAGGAGUUGCAAGAUUUUGUGGAGACUUCUGUAGGGAGAAGAGCUAUGGUAGCUCUGUGUGGUGCCCUCACUGUAAUACCUAAAUAUUAUCCAAGAAAGUAAAAUUCAUAUAGGGCAUAUAUUGUAGCUUUAAUGUGUGGACUGUUUUAUACAUGUGUGUAUACAAAGUGCAGAACUAAGGGGCGAAUAUCUCACACAGUCGCAGAACUCAAAUGUCAAAAGUGUUGUGAACUCCACCUCCUUACACUGCAUGUAUGUUUGUAGUUUGACCGGGGGAUUUGUGUAAUAUGUAUUUGUGUGGACUGUUAAAUAUAUAUACUGUACAGGAUUAUAUGUUCUGCAGACUCAGUACAACUGUUGAUGGAACCUUGCUAUAUUAGGAUAGGUAAUGCUGGAAGAUACUAUGUAUAUUUCAUUUUGCUUACACUAUUGCUACUAAAGCACACAUUAAUGCCAAUAUAUAAAUUUGGAUGGGAAAUUAUGCAAAAAAAUAAUGCUUUAUUCUUCAGUUUUGGAGAUUUUGUAGUUUAUGCUAUGAUGAGUGUUACAAACAUUUUUUGAUGUAUUGGAGAACAAACUCUCUUUGAUAUAUAAUGGAUAUGCUAAUAUCCAUUAAAAUCAAAAUGCAAAUAAAAAAGAAUGACCUAAAUUAUUUGACUGUCUGUAAAUCCAGUAGAGUUUCACCCGUCCAAAUUUUCCUUGAUUAAUUAUAUUACUGGCUGACUUUUAUCUUUUGAGAAAACACAAGUGCAGCUAGGGUUAUCUACAAGGCCUGCAGAAGCUUAAGUAGUAAAAGAAAGAAAUGACCCUGAUGUAAAUGAAUAAGUGAUGGUUAUACUGAAAAGAGUACCUAGCUUGUUAAGUCAAAAGAAACUUUGUGCAUUUAAUGAAGAAGCACAAAAAAAUAAAAAAGCUAUGAUGGCUUAUGAAGUGAGAAUGUUUGGCAUAACCUGAGAUUUAAAACUGAUCCUGGCGAUUUUCUGCUAAGCCUAGAGCAUACAGACUAAGUCCUAGAGGUUACAGCAGCCUCCUGGAGGUUGGGAGGAGGAUCCCCUGACAUGGGAAAGACUGAAGCCUGCCCUUCCAUGUCUUGGGAGGUUGACCUACUGGGCAGAAAAAAAGAUGUCUUCUGUCAGAUGUACUUUGAGGGGAGGAAAACCAGAAGAGAUCUAUCCACCACUUCAGAAGUAGGUCAGAGCUGUGAAU